rnacentral:rRNA from 1 species
UACCAGACUCCUACGGGAGGCAGCAGUGGGGAAUAUUGCACAAUGGGGGAAACCCUGAUGCAGCAACGCCGCGUGGGUGAAGGAGCGUUUCGGCGCGUAAAGCCCUGUCAGCGGGGAAGAAGAAAGACGGUACCCGACCAAGAAGCCCCGGCUAACUACGUGCCAGCAGCCGCGGUAAUACGUAGGGGGCGAGCGUUAUCCGGAAUUACUGGGUGUAAAGGGAGCGUAGACGGCGAGGUAAGCCUGAAGUGGAAGCCCGCGGCCCAACCGCGGAACUGCUUUGGGAACUGUUUUGCUGGAGUAUGGGAGGGGUAAGCGGAAUUCUCGGUGUAGCAGUGAAAUGCGUAGAUAUCGAGAGGAACACUCGUGGCGAAGGCGGGUUCCUGGACAUUAACUGACGCUGAGGCACGAAGGCCAGGGGAGCGAAAGGGAUUAGAUACCCCUGUACA